GCCAGGUGUGGUGGCACACACCUGUAAUCCCAGCAGCUCAGGAGGUUGAGGCAGGAGGAGCACAGGUUCGAAGCCAGCCUCAGCAACUUAAUGAGGCUGUAAGCAACCUAGUGAGACCCUAUCUCAA
rnacentral:sRNA from 1 species